AAGUCGUAACAAGGUUUCCGUAGGUGAACCUGCGGAGGGAUCAUUACACAAAUAUGAAGGCGGGCUGGAACCUCUCGGGGUUACAGCCUUGCUGAAUUAUUCACCCUUGUCUUUUGCGUACUUCUUGUUUCCUUGGUGGGUUCGCCCACCACUAGGACAAACAUAAACCUUUUGUAAUUGCAAUCAGCGUCAGUAACAAAUUAAUAAUUACAACUUUCAACAACGGAUCUCUUGGUUCUGGCAUCGAUGAAGAACGCAGCGAAAUGCGAUAAGUAGUGUGAAUUGCAGAAUUCAGUGAAUCAUCGAAUCUUUGAACGCACAUUGCGCCCUUUGGUAUUCCAAAGGGCAUGCCUGUUCGAGCGUCAUUUGUACCCUCAAGCUUUGCUUGGUGUUGGGCGUCUUGUCUCUAGCUUUGCUGGAGACUCGCCUUAAAGUAAUUGGCAGCCGGCCUACUGGUUUCGGAGCGCAGCACAAGUCGCACUCUCUAUCAGCAAAGGUCUAGCAUCCAUUAAGCCUUUUUUUCAACUUUUGACCUCGGAUCAGGUAGGGAUACCCGCUGAACUUAA
rnacentral:rRNA from 1 species